AGUGGGUUGUCAUUCCGGGCGCUGAAUUCGAGAGUUGCUUGUCCGGUGGAGGUAUUCGAGUGCGGUUUCGGCAAUUGAGGUGGAUGCAUUCCUUAGUUUAUUUCAUAGAUACUAGUCGGGGUACCCCACGUGGCAGUUAAUAUUCUAGCGGAUUGUGUAUUCUCAGAUUAGUGGUGAGGUUCCAGAAUUCGGAUCGUCACUAGUCUAUCUUUAUUUUUCAGUCUUUUGUAUCAUUCAGAGACUUAUGUUGUAUCUUCAGAUUCGAACCUUGUAUUAGAUGCUCUUUAUACUUAUGACACCAGGUUUUGGGAUAAUUUCU